GGCUUUAGAGUUUUCUUGUGAAUAAUUGUUAUUACUUUGAAAGCAUGAAUGAUUUUGCCCAAAUUAUCUGUGAUUGAACUACCUACUUGCAACUAUUUUGUCUUAACUGUUAUAACUAUUAUAAUGUAGUCGACUCUAUUAGUUGCAUAUUCGACUACAAGAGCGUCUGAUUUAUAAAAAUCUAUAAAUAGACGAGACCUGAUCAAUUACAGAGAACUUUUGGAUUACUAACAUUUUC
rnacentral:lncRNA from 1 species